GACGCAGCAGGACACGAUGCGGCAGGACCCAGUGUUCCACACAAGGACCUGCAGUCCUGGUUCAAAUCCAGACACUGCCAUAGGAAGCUUAGCUCUACGUGAGGAGAUUAGCGACUGUUCCAUGCGGGAAACAAACCAACCAAGCCAAAGCCUGCAAGUCUCUCCCAAGCUGCCAGCAAGUGAGCCAGGUGGACCUCCAGGGCGUAGGAUGCAGCUGGGAAAACAUCAGACCCGCUGCUUUUCCGGGUCCCUGCGCUUGCUGCGUCUCCUCUGGCUGCAGAGACUCAGCCCGGCUCAGAGCUGGGGAACUCGGUUAUUCUUUUGAAGCGUCAAGGGCACUUGUCAGCUUUGAAAUAAUACAUUUGC
rnacentral:lncRNA from 1 species